UGGGGAAUCUUGGACAAUGGGCGAAAGCUUGAUCCAGUAAUAUUUAUUGUGUGAAAGGGACGGCUAGCUUCGUAAAUCACUUUUGUAAAUAAAAAUAAUGAUAUGUAUUUAAGUAAUUUAGUCCCGGCUAAUUUCGUGCCAGCAGCCGCGGUAAUACGGGAGGGGCAAGCGUUAUUCAUCAUAAGCGGGCGUAAAGGGUGAGUAGACGAUAACAUGUAGUUAAUAUCAAAAAACAAAGAAUUUUUUGUUACUUAUUAACUAAAGAUAAAUUUGCGAUGAAGUGAGUAGAUAGAAUUACUAAUGGAAAGGUAAAAUAUAAUGAUAUUAGUACGUAUGCCAGCGGCGAAGGCGGUCUACGAUAUAGUCGGACGUUGAGGUGCGAAAGCAUGGGAAUCAAACA
rnacentral:rRNA from 1 species